GAUGAACGCUGGCGGCGUGCCUAAUACAUGCAAGUCGAGCGAACAGACGAGGAGCUUGCUCCUCUGACGUUAGCGGCGGACGGGUGAGUAACACGUGGAUAACCUACCUAUAAGACUGGGAUAACUUCGGGAAACCGGAGCUAAUACCGGAUAAUAUAUUGAACCGCAUGGUUCAAUAGUGAAAGACGGUUUUGCUGUCACUUAUAGAUGGAUCCGCGCCGCAUUAGCUAGUUGGUAAGGUAACGGCUUACCAAGGCAACGAUGCGUAGCCGACCUGAGAGGGUGAUCGGCCACCCUGGAACUGAGACACGGUACAGACUCCUACGGGAGGCAGCAGUAGGGAAUCUUCAGCCAUGGGCGAAAGCCUGACGGAGCAACGCCGAGUGAGUGAUGAAGGUCUUCGGAUCGUAAAACUCUGUUAUUAGGGAAGAACAAAUGUGUAAGUAACUAUGCACCUCUUGACGGUACCUACUCAGAAAGCCACGGCUAACUACGUG
rnacentral:rRNA from 1 species